AUUGAACGCUGGCGGCAGGCCUAACACAUGCAAGUCGAACGAGUGGCGGACGGGUGAGUAAUGUCUGGGAAACUGCCUGAUGGAGGGGGAUAACUACUGGAAACGGUAGCUAAUACCGCAUACCAUCAGAUGUGCCCAGAUGGGAUUAGCUCGUUGGUGGGGUAACGGCUCACCAAGGCGACGAUCCCGAUCUGGUCUGAUGGGAUGACCAGCAACACGGGAACGGGGACACGGUCCGGAGGCCUACGGGAGGCAGCAGAGGGGAAUAUUGCACAAUGGGGGCAAGCCUGAUGCAGCCAUGCCGCGUGUAUGAAGAAGGCCUUCGGGUUGUAAAGUACUUUCAGCGGGGAGGCGUUACACGCAGAAGAAGCACCGGCUAACUCCGUGCCAGCCGCCGCGGUAAUUC
rnacentral:rRNA from 1 species